UACGUAAGGAGCGAGCGUUAUUCGGAAUCACUGGGCUUAAAGGGUGCGUAGGCGGUCUUGUAGGUCAGAUGUGAAAGCCCACGGCUCAACCGUGGAAUUGCGUUUGAAACCACAAGACUUGAGUAAGAUAGAGGUAAGCGGAACUGAUGGUGGAGCGGUGAAAUGCGUUGAUAUCAUCAGGAACACCGGUGGCGAAAGCGGCUUACUGGGUCUUUACUGACGCUGAGGCACGAAAGCUAGGGGAGCGAACGGG
rnacentral:rRNA from 1 species